GACGAACGCUGGCGGCGUGCCUAACACAUGCAAGUUGAGCGACGAACCGGGGCUUGCCCUGGGGCAAAGCAGCGAACGGGUGAGUAACACGUGGGUAACCUGCCCCGAUGAUCGGGACAACCCGAGGAAACUCGGGCUAAUACCGAAUGUGCUCGCCGGACACCAGUCCGGCGCGUAAAGGAAGCUUCGGCCUCCGCAUCGGGAGGGGCCCGCGGCCCAUUAGCUCGUUGGUGAGGUAACGGCUCACCAAGGCAACGAGGGGUAGCUGGUCUGAAAGGACGAUCGGCCACACUGGGACUGAGACACGGCCCAGACUCCGACGGGAGGCAGCAGUGGGGAAUCUUGCGCAAGGCGCGAAAGCGUGACGCAGCAACGCCGCGUGGGGGAAGAAGGCCUUCGGGUUGUAAACCCCUUUCAGGAGGGACGAAGGUUCGGCGGUGAAUAGCCGUCCGGACUGACGGUACCUCCACAAGAAGCCCCGGCUAACUACGUGCCAGCCGCCGCCGUAAGAC
rnacentral:rRNA from 1 species